UCAGUACUCCCUCCGUCCGUAAAUACUUGUCCUAGAAAUGGUUGUAUCUAGACUUAUUUUAGUUAUAGAUACAUCCAUUUUCAACCAUUUUUAGGACAAGUAUUUCCGGACGGAGGGAGUACAUG
rfam:Triticum aestivum genome assembly, contig: Triticum_aestivum_CS42_TGACv1_scaffold_471764_6AL